UCUAAACACAAACAGACAAAUUGAUGAACAUUGUGAUUAAAAUCGUCCGUCUGAGGGCAUUUCUCUCACCCGGAUAUUUCAGGAAACAUUAAACCCUUCAGUAAUUCACUGAUCGUAGAUCCCAUCACUGUCAAUGUCCCUCACUGCCCAGCUCCAAUGAAUUCACCGAAUGUCAGUAAUUUCGUCUGUCGGUGUGACCCUGUAAACUCCACAUAUUCUCUCUCAUUCCCUAAUGGAUAGAAAAGUGUUCCUGAUGUGAGACAGUCGGAAAGGGCAGGUGUGAAGGGGAGAAGUCAAACAGUGAGGAAGAUUUGAGAAUCGGGAAAUGUCGAUGGGAGAUGGAGGAAGAGACAUCACCUAAGCAUUACAUCAACAAGAUGUGACAACAAGAACGGGAGAGAGGGGAGAGAGAGAGCAAAAACAAAUGGAUGGCGGGCAUCACUGAAUUGUGGCUGACAAAAGUUUAUAGUUGGGUGCUUAAAUCCAAGGAUAAAUAUUGAAUCGAAAGGAUACGCAGCUGCGUGGAUCAGCCAUUGCUCUGAGACGGAACUUUUCACACGGACUGAGAAAAGCACAACACCAUAGAUGCGUCCUCUUUUGUAAAAUGCAUCCAUGAAUAUUUUAGGAUUAAGACAGACAAGAGAAAAAACAUUCUAUUGAUUUUAAUUACUAAUUAAAGGAUAGGAUAAAAAUGUAGUACAACAAAGAAAAACUUUCAGGUUUCAUAAACGUUUAUACGACAGUGUUUAAUUCCAUCUGCGCUGCAACAAAGGCUCCGUUUGCGGGAGCAUUUUGGUUCUGCAGACACGCAGUGCAGAGGGAACAGUGACGGGUUUCUCUCUCCAGAUUAUCCUACCUUAUAACAGUGUUUUGUCCACUGCCUUGCCAGCGACAACCUGUUGUUACAAACAUGCAGAUCAUCAACAAUCAGGCUCAGAUCUCAUCCGUGUGCAUAUUCGAGAUGGGUGAGGGUUUGCUUAAAUGGGAAAUGUAUUAAAUGGCCUCUUUGUUAGGUACAACUCUAUACCAGCUCAUUAAUACGAAUCUGUUAAUCAUCUGCUUGCAACUCAAAGCACAAGCACAUGCAGAUAUGGUCAACGGGUUCAGUUGUUAUUCAGGCCAAACAUCUGAAGAGGAAAUAAAUGUGAUGUAAGUGACGUUGACCGGGGAAUGAUCGUUGGUGCCAGACCGGGUGGUAUGAGGGUUACGGAAACUGAUCAGCAGCUUGGAUUCUCAAGUAUAAAUCUCUCGGUUUACUGAGAAUGGUCCGGAAUCAAACCAAAGGAAAAUCCAGUGAACAGCGGUUCUAAAGGCCCCGUUAAUGAGAGAACUCAGUGAGAUUGGGCAGACUGAUUAAAUCCGACAGGAAAGCGGCAAGAACUCAAAUAACCACGCACUCCAACAGCGGAGAGCAAGAGAGCGUCACUGAGCACCGAACAUAGAGACCCAACACUGUCUCCUCCCGUACUUCAAAAUACCCUAUACUCCGUGCAGAUGGACUUUAAACACCCUCCACAUGUCAGAUGUGGACUUGCCAGUGUUACGAAGGAUGAACAGCUCUGAUGGGCAGAAGGGUGCAGAGUUGCCCAUCUCCC